rnacentral:rRNA from 1 species
UACGGAGGGUGCGAGCGUUGUCCGGAAUCACUGGGCGUAAAGGGCGCGUAGGCGGCGCGGCAAGUCCGUGGUGAAAGCUCGUGGCUCAACUGCGAGUCGGCCAUGGAUACUGCUGUGCUUGAGCACUGUAGAGGCAGGUGGAAUUCCGGGUGGUAGCGGUGGAAUGCGUAGAGAUCCGGAAGAACACCGGUGGCGAAGGCGGCCUGCUGGGCAGUAGCUGACGCUGAGGCGCGACAGCGUGGGGAGCAAACAGG